rnacentral:rRNA from 1 species
AGAGUUUGAUCAUGGCUCAGGAUGAACGCUAGCUACAGGCUUAACACAUGCAAGUCGAGGGGAAACGACAUCGAAAGCUUGCUUUUGAUGGGCGUCGACCGGCGCACGGGUGAGUAACGCGUAUCCAACCUGCCCACCACUUGGGGAUAACCUUGCGAAAGUAAGACUAAUACCCAAUGACGUCUCUAGAAGACAUCUGAAGGAGAUUAAAGAUUUAUCGGUGAUGGAUGGGGAUGCGUCUGAUUAGCUUGUUGGCGGGGUAACGCCACAAGGCGACGAUCGAGUAGGGGUUCUGAGAGGAACGGUCCCCCANAUUGGAACUGAGACACGGUACCAAACUCCGUACGGGAGCA